GUGUCAGCAGCCGCGGUAAUACGGAGGGUGCAAGCGUUAUCCGGAUUCACUGGGUUUAAAGGGAGCGUAGGUGGCUUUGUAAGUCAGUGGUGAAAUAUUGCGGCUCAACCGCAAAACUGCCAUUGAUACUGCUUAGCUUGAAUCACGUCGAGGUGGAUGGAAUAAUACAUGUAGCGGUGAAAUGCUUAGAUAUGUAUUAGAACACCGAUUGCGAAGGCAGUUCACUAGGCGUGUAUUGACACUGAGGCUCGAAAGCGUGGGGAUCAAACAGGAUUAGAUACCCUGGUAGUCC
rnacentral:rRNA from 1 species